ensembl:lncRNA LINC-PINT long intergenic non-protein coding RNA, p53 induced transcript
AAUCUACGUGCGCAUCAUUUUCACCUCGCGUCGCGCCCGGGAGGAAGGAACGAGGCAAGGAGCUAAAGCAGCGUGCGUUCAGCCCUGGGGCAUUUUAUUAAUGCUUUUACGAGUUAGAAGAGUUGGGAUAAUUUGCCAUCUGGAGUUUCUCUGCCUUGCUGAUCUGAGCUCAGACCUGCCAAUUUACCAGAGAUAAUUGAUAACACCCUGUAACAGCUGAGGGCCGCUCUGAAGGUGAACGUGAAACUGUGGGCACUGAGUGAGCUCUCAAGAGUUUUCUUUUUCCUCUAUCUUCUUCCCAGGUUAUGAACUCCAGGCUUAUUGUGGGGAUAGAGGAAAAUGGAAGAAACGGAGAUACUUUUAGUGAAGCAGAAUAAACCACUGAACAGAUGGAGUCUCACUCUGUUGCCCAGACUGGAAUGCAGUGGUGUGAUCUCAACUGACUGCAACCUCCGUAUCCUGGGUUCAAGCAACUCUCCUGCUGCAGCCACGAAAAAUGAGGAAGCUGUGAGUACCAGUGGAAGGAACGAGCCAGGAAGAGGGACUGGAACCAUCUCAGAAGCCAUGCCCCUCAGGCUGGAACUUGCCCUGUCUCCUCGCAGAUGAGCUACCUCUUGUGUUUAAGAAUUAAAGGAAGAUGAGCUAGGAAUCAAGAAAUACGCAGAACUGAUUCCUGUCACUGGCGCCACCCUGCCACUUGCCCAGAGCUGUGGUAUAAAUUUUUUUAAUAGGCUGAAAUAAAAAUAUGAAUAGCAUUUUGGUAUUAAGCAUUAAAUUGAUAAAGGCUAU